CUGCCAGUAGUCAUAUGCUUGUCUCAAAGAUUAAGCCAUGCAUGUCUCAGUACAAGCCAUAUUAAGGUGAAACCGCGAAAGGCUCAUUAAAUCAGUUAUGGUUCCUUAGAUCGUACCCACAUUUACUUGGAUAACUGUGGUAAUUCUAGAGCUAAUACAUGCAAACAGAGCUCCGACCGGAGACGGAAGGAGUGCUUUUAUUAGAUCAAAACCAAUCGGCGGCAAUUGGGUUUACUUAAUUGUUCGUCGCACUUUUUGGUGACUCUGAAUAACUUUUGGCUGAUCGCACGGUCUCGCACCGGCGACGCAUCUUUCAAAUGUCUGCCUUAUCAACUGUCGAUGGUAGGUUCUGCGCCUACCAUGGUUGUAACGGGUAACGGGGAAUUAGGGUUCGAUUCCGGAGAGGGAGCCUGAGAAACGGCUACCACAUCCAAGGAAGGCAGCAGGCGCGCAAAUUACCCACUCCCGGCACGGGGAGGUAGUGACGAAAAAUAACGAUACGGGACUCAUCCGAGGCCCCGUAAUCGGAAUGAGUACACUUUAAAUCCUUUAACAAGGACCAAUUGGAGGGUAAGUCUGGUGCCAGCAGCCGCGGUAAUUCCAGCUCCAAUAGCGUAUA
rnacentral:rRNA from 6 species